AUCUCUGUAGAGUCUGCAUAUCAAUAAGCGGAGGAAAAGAAACUAACAAGGAUUCCCCUAGUAACGGCGAGUGAAGCGGGAAGAGCUCAAAUUUGAAAUCUUCAAGGGUUUCCCUUGACGAAUUGUAGUUUAAAGAAGUGUUUUCUGUUAGAGAGGUGGUAAAAGUUCUUUGGAAUAGGACAUCAUAGAGGGUGAGAAUCCCGUAUUUGAUCACUUUCUACUAACGUUGUGAUACACUUUCAAAGAGUCGGAUUGUUUGGGAAUGCAGUCCAAAAUGGGUGGUAAAUUUCAUCUAAAGCUGAAUAUUGGCGAGAGACCGAUAGCGAACAAGUACCGUGAGGGAAAGAUGAAAAGAACUUUGAAAAGAGAGUUAAACAGUACGUGAAAUUGUCAAAAGGGAAGCGUUUGACACCAGUGUUGUUUUCUCGAAAAUCAAUUAAAAAUGGUGGGAUUUUGUGUUGUAUUGACUUUAUCAGCUUUCUGCACUUUUUUCCUGUCUUUUUUAAUGCACUUUUCGUUUAACAAGUCAACAUCAAUUUCUUUUGUUGUAAAAGGGUCAUUGGAAGGUGGCUUUCUUUUCGGAGAAAGUGUUUAUAGCCUUUGGCCUCUGCAAUCGGAGAGAUUGAGGUCUGCAGCGUAGAUCCUUCGGGGUUAGAUACAUUUGUGCUAAGUUAUAGUUUUUUAUAGACAACAUGUUGACUAUGAUCAGUCAUGUAGCUUACUCGCUUAUGCUAUUUUACCUACGCUUAGGAUGUUGAUGUGAUACUGCGAGCA
rnacentral:rRNA from 1 species